rnacentral:rRNA from 1 species
UUUUGGACAAUGGGGGCAACCCUGAUCCAGCAAUGCCGCGUGAGUGAAGAAGGCCUUCGGGUUGUAAAGCUCUUUUGUCAGGGAAGAAACACCGGCUCUAACACAGUCCGGGAAUGACGGUACCUGAAGAAUAAGCACCGGCUAACUCCGUGCCAGCAGCCGCGGUAAUACGGAGGGUGCAAGCGUUAUCCGGAUUCACUGGGUUUAAAGGGUGCGUAGGCGGGUAGGUAAGUCAGUGGUGAAAUCCUGGAGCUCAACUCCAGAACUGCCAUUGAUACUAUCUAUCUUGAAUAUUGUGGAGGAAGCGGAAUAUGUCAUGAGCGGUAAAUGCUAGUUACAUGACACCCAUUGCGAGGAGCUACUCGAUUUAGCGUGGACAAA